GCGGGGCCUUCCCGGUCUGGCUCCUCGGACGGUUCCGGGCGCAGUUCGCCAACUCCAGGCCGUGGGGCGCCCGGAACAUUUGUUGAACUCUGCCACAUUCCGCGAUUUUGGCAGUGAGUUAGACUACCCAGGUCCCAGGCCCGCGCAGAGCCUUGAGUAGGAAGUCUCCUUUUCCCAAGAAAAGAAAUAAGCAGGAUCCGCCCAUACAGGUUUUAUGAGAGAGUGAUGAUUUCCAAGAGCCUCAGCCAUGAAGGAUCACCAGAGAGGCUGUGCGUAAUCCAGACUGAGGCAGAAAAAGUAUUAUGAGGGAUCAAGGAGAAGUAGCAAAAGCAGCGUGAGACUGGUGGGAUAACGGUUCCCACCAGCAAUCCUGAUGUACAGACUUCCAUCAUUUGCACCCACAACCCUAGACUCUUAAAGAUGGACUUCUCUCAAGAGCAAGCAGCUGUUUCGUUUCACCAAAGCUACAUUGAGGUUAUUUCUAUAGGAUAAUAAGAUUAUUAUGUGAAGAGUCCCUCUCUCCCCAAAUUUCUGAUUCUUUCCCUCUUGUUUUAUUUUAUUGGCCACAGCAUCAAACCAAGUAAGCAUCUUCCAGCUCAACCCCAUUAUCCGCUUUGUCUACACUUAAAGUUGCUCUUA